rnacentral:tRNA from 1 species
GCGCCUGUAGGCCAAUGGCAGAGUCAGCAGACUUAAAAUCUGCAAAGUGUGGGUUCGAGUCCCACUAGGCGUACCA